rnacentral:rRNA from 1 species
ACGUACAGCCAUAUCACCCUGCAGCCCAAGACCGGUUACUCACUGAAGCUAAGCAGGGCUGAGCCUGGUCAGUACCUGGAUGGGAGACUACAUUGGAAAACAAGGUUGCUGUUGGAA